CCCCAAAGUCACCCCAAAGUCACCCCAGAGUGACCCCGAUGUGACCCUAAAGGGACCCCGACCUGACCCCAAUGUGACCCCAAAGGGACCCCAACCUGACCCCAAUGUGACCCCAAAGGGACCCCGUCCUGACCCCAAAGAGACACCAACCUGACCCCAACCUGACCCCAAAGGGACCCCGACCUGACCCCAAUGUGACCCCAAAGGGACACCGAUGUGACCCUAAAGGGACCCCGACCUGACCCCGAUGUGACCCCAAAGGGACCCUGACCUGACCCCAUGAUGACCCCAAAAGGGACCCCAAAGUGACCCCAAAGUGUCCCCAUGGUGACCCCGAGAGGGACCCCAAAGUGACCCCAUGAUGACCCCGUCCUGACCCCAAAGGGACCCUGACCUGACCCCAUGAUGACCCCAAUGUGAUCCCAAAGGGAUCCCAAAGUGUCCCCAUGGUGACUCCAAAGUGACUCCUAAAUGUCCCCAUGGUGACCCCAAAGUGUCCCCAAAGUAUCCCCAAAAGGGACCCCAAAGUCACCCGGAUGUGACCCCAGAGUGACCCCGAUGUGACCCUAAAGGGACCCCGUCCUGACCCCAAAGGGACCCCGACCUGACCCCAAUGUGACCCCAAAGGGACCCCAUGAUGACCCCAAAAGGGACCCCAAAGUGACCCCGAAGGGACCCCGAACCCAACUGCUACGCCAAGGUGAUCACGCUGGAGGCGCAGAAGAAGAUCGUCAUCUACUCCAAGCAGCCCAUCGGCGUCAACGAGGAGAUCACCUACGACUACAAGUUCCCCAUCGAGGACACCAAGAUCCCCUGCCUCUGCCGCACCGACAGCUGCCGCGGCACGCUCAACUGACGGCGUCAUGGCGGCCGUGGUGUCAUGGCGGCCGUGGCGUCAUGGCGGCGGUCGUGGGGCAGCGGCGACGACGUGGUGGCGGUGGUCGGAUUGUGGUGGUGACGUCGUCACGGUGGUCAUAUGGCGGUGGUGACAUCAUGGUGGUCGUAUGGUGGUGCGGUGACGUCAUGGCGGUGGUCAUACGGUGUUGGUGACGUCAUGGCGGUGGUCGUAUGGCGGCGGUGACGUCAUGGCGGCGGUUGAGACCUUGUUGGCAGCCAUGACACCGCCACGUCGGCCAUGACACCGCCUCCUUGGCAGCCAUGUCACCGCCUCGUUGGCUAGUAGACUUCGUUGGCAGCCAUGACACCGCCUCCUUGGCAGCCAUCACACCACCUCCUUGGCAGCCAUGACACCACCACCUUGGCGGCCAUGACACCUUGUUGGCAGCCAUGACACCGCCUCCUUGGCCGCCAUCACACCGCCGUGUCGGCCAUGAUACCGCCUCGUUGGCCAUGAUACCUCCUUGGCAGCCAUGACACCGCCUCCUUGGCAGCCAUGACACUGCCGUGUCGGCCAUGACACCGCCUCGUUGGCCAUUACACCUUGUUGGCAGCCAUGACACCGCCUCGGUAGCCAUGACACCGCCUCGUUGGCAGCCAUGACACCAUCUCAUCGGCCAUGAUACCUUGUUGGCAGCCAUGACACCGCCUUGGUAGCCAUGACACCACCUCGUUGGCAGCCAUGAUACCGCCUCAUUGGCCAUGAUACCUUCUUGGCAGCCAUGACACCACCGUGUCGGCCAUGACACCGCCUCCUUGGCAGCCAUGACACCACCCUGUCGGCCAUGACACCGCCUCGUCGGCCAUGAUACCUUGUUGGCAGCCAUGACACCACCAUGUCGGCCAUGACACCGCCUUGUCAGCCAUGAUACCUCGUUGGCAGCCAUGAUACCUCGUUGGCAGCCAUGAUACCGCCUCAUUGGCAGCCAUGACACUGCCUUGGCAGCCAUGACACCAGGUCGGAGGCCAUGACACCUCAUUGGCAACCAUGACACCACCUCGGCAGCCAUGACGGCUCGUUGGCAGCCAUGACACCACCUUGGCGGCCAUCACACCACCUUGGCAGCCAUGAUACUUCGUCGGCAGCCAUGGCACCACCUCGGUGGCCAUGAUACUUUCUCGGCCGCCAUGACACCACCUCGGCAGCCAUGAC
rnacentral:lncRNA from 1 species